CCGGGAGAGAGACCCCGAGGAACUAUCUUCCCCCGGCGUCCAGACUCCAGUCGUCCCAGGGCGUUCUCAACGAGUGGUCCAAGCUCCCCAGACCGUUCAGUUCUCAGCGAGCCGAAGUCCAACGAACACCAGCCAAAAUGGAGGCCAUCAAGAAGAAGAUGCAGGCGAUGAAGCUGGAGAAGGAUAAUGCGGUCGACAGGGCUGAGACCGCGGAACAGCAGUCCAGGGAGGCCGCUCUGCGCGCCGAGAAGGCUGAAGAGGAAGUGCGCAGCCUUCAGAAGAAGAUCCAGCAGAUCGAGAAUGAGCUUGACCAGGUGCAGGAGCAGCUGUCCCAGGCCAACAGCAAGCUGGAGGAGAAGGACAAGGCUCUGCAGGCCGCUGAGGCUGAGGUUGCUGCCCACAACCGACGCAUCCAGCUGCUGGAGGAGGACCUGGAACGCUCUGAGGAACGACUCAAGAUUGCCACCCAGAAACUGGAAGAGGCCUCCCAGGCGGCUGACGAAAGCGAACGCAUGCGCAAAAUGCUGGAGCACAGGAGCAUCACCGACGAAGAGCGCAUGGACGGUCUCGAGGGGCAGCUCAAGGAAGCGCGCACGAUGGCUGAGGAUGCCGACAGGAAAUACGAUGAGAUGGCGCGCCGCAUCGCCCUUCUGGAGGCUGACCUGGAAAGGGCUGAGGAGAGGGCCUCCACGGGCGAGAGCAAAAUUGUGGAGCUUGAGGAAGAGCUGCGCGUCGUCGGCAACAACCUGAAGUCCCUGGAAGUUAGCGAAGAGAAGGCCCUGCAAAAGGAGGAGACGUACGAGAUGCAAAUCCGGCAGAUGACCAAUAGGCUGCAAGAGGCUGAGGCCCGGGCUGAGUUUGCCGAGAGGUCAGUGCAGAAGCUGCAGAAGGAAGUGGACAGACUGGAAGACGAGCUGCUUGUGGAGCGCGAGAAGAACCACAUGCUCCAGGAAGAGGUGGAGACCACCCUGAAGGACCUGCAGUCCAUGUGACCGGGCUCUACGGCGCCCCACUCUGCCUGCCACUGCUUUCUUCCCCCCUCUGUCCAGACGAGCUUGUCCAGGAGAAGGAGAAGUACAAGGCCAUCUCGGACGAGCUGGAUCAGACCUUCUCCGAACUCACUGGCUACUAAGCUCCACGCAAAGGGACUGGCGCCGCCGUUGUUUCUACCGCUGCUCUGCCAACGUAUCACUCUCACUUCGUCGUCGUCGUUGGGGGGUUAGGCUAGGACAGCAGGGGGACAAAGAAAAAUGCCUUUUGCCCAACCAGAGAUCGGGAGACGGGGAGAGAGGGGCCUGUUGUAACCCGCCACCUUGUCCACCCGAAUUGGCCCGAGACACCGUUGCAUUCGCCGACGGCCCUUGUCUCAUUGCAUUGUUGGACUGGAAGGUUUGGGAAGGAGCCACAGUUUUUCUUCUUUUGUCCCCUGUACUCUUGUUACGUCACGAAUAGACAGUGCCUCUCCCCUCUCGCCUUUCGUUUCAUUGACUGUUGUUCGAGACACCAACCACACAUACAGACACAGAAGAACUAGCGCUCUUCUUAUAUUUUUUUUUCUUCAGCUCUAUGCAUUUCUUCCCCCCCCCCCCCCACACACCUUUUUUUUUUCCUUUAAUUUUGGCAAGGUUGUAAGUAUUUUACAUCUUGUUUUCCUGCAGAUGAAAGGAUGUGUACCGAGUGCUCCCAUGCUUGUUUUUUUUUUUUUUUAAUUGGGAUGGGAAAGCAGAGAGUGUUAAGUUUUUUGCGCCUAGGAAUUCGAGGAAAGUGUUUUUUUGACACGCUGUACUCUAGACAUGACUGGAUGCCUUCGUAGCAUUGCCUGCAUUUUGGGCACGCCAGCCAUUUCUAGAGCAAACGAGGUUGAUUGAUAAAAACCAAAACUGCCAAGCAAUUUGUAUGCCAAUAUAUCUGGUAAUAAAAGAAAUCCAUAUUUAAAGGUG
rnacentral:misc_RNA from 1 species